CCUGCAUUGUACACACUGUGCAUAUUUGUCAACAGAGCACAGCGCAUACAAUGUGGAU
ensembl:miRNA gmo-mir-460 gmo-mir-460